AUAUUUUUAGCAAAAUUUUGACAUAAUUUUCCCUGAAAUAUGAACUAAAAUCACCUGAACAAUAACCAAUUUUCCUCAAACCAAUAUUUAUAAUAUGAAUAGGGUAAGACAGUUCUUCAAAAUAUAAACUAUUCAAAUCAAAUGUUGGCAAAUCAACAUUUACUUGCUCUAUAACCAAUAAUCCUUAAAUAUACUAAAAAUACCAUCUAUUUAAUGAGCCCAUAAUGAACUUUUCUUAUUUAAACUACAUGUAUCCCAAAAAAACACAUAAUGUAUAAUCUGAUAAAGGAUGUCAUACAGCCUAUGACGAGUGGCUCAAAUCGGUGGUUCGACAGGCUCCAAAGCUGCUCAAUUCGGCUGCUAUUUGUUCGAUAAAGAAAAAGGUGAAAAAAAAUAUAUGAGCUUAAAAUUCAGCGUGUGGAUAUUUUACAAAUAAGUAAACUUUUCUCAUUUAUGCAUAUUUUCUGAAAAUUCUUGCACUACUAAAACUUUUAGAAAUUCUGAAAUUUGGUAACACUUUUAAAACCAAACAUGAUUGCAUCAUAAAAUCAUUUGUUCUUAAUUCUAGAUAAGCAAUUGUAAAAUAUAAUGACUAUAAAUAAUAUAAUACCAUGAAAAUCUAUGAAAUAUUGCUGCUGCUCAAUACUAUAAGCUGAAAGCUUAAUAAAUUGAAUUUUAUAAUCUGAAAUUUGAUAAGCUGUAGAAAUAUUGAAAAAUCACACCAACAAGGUACUCGGAAUAACCUUACUCAUGUAUCGGUUAGUACCGAUAUACAUGGGAAAGUUAUUCAAUUCUGUAAUUCUUAAAUUCUGGUCAUAUGCGCGCAGAGUUGAAAUUAUGUAAUUCUUGUCAUACACUAUGGAAACACAUUUGCAAUAGUGUAGAGCUGGUGAAAUCACCAUAACUGAUCAUACAUUGUGGAAACACAUUCACACCAGUACAGACUAGGAUCAAAUCAC
rnacentral:lncRNA from 1 species